UACUUGUAACUCCGAGUUAUUGCAGUUUGUGAGCGGAGCGGACAACUGAUCCGAGGAGCACAGGCAUACAAGUAUGUCCUACUGUUAACAUCCCUCUUCAAAGAGCCGACGGAUUCUCUGUUCAUUCUGGCUGAUGUCACUGCAACCCUGGCAGACAUCGAGGGGGAAGAGAGUCUUCCAGACACACCCAGAAUCAUUAUGCUUGAAGCACAUUUUGGAGGUCACACACUGAUGUUGGACGAGGCGACUGGCUCUCAGGAUCCGCUCUAAUUCAUCCCAAAGGUGUUCUAUUGAGUUGAGGUCAGGACCCUGUGCAGGCCAGUCAAGUCCAUCCAGACCAAACUCUGUUAUCCAUGCCUUUAUGGACCUUGCUUUGUGCACUGGUGCACCGUCAUGUUGGAACAGGAAGGGGCCGUGUGUGUGU